UGAAUCUUCCGCAAUGAGCGCAAGCUUGACGGAGCGACGCCGCGUGGAGGACGAAGGCCUUCGGGUUGUAAACUCCUGUCAGCACUUAUGAACAGACCAGGUAAACAGCCUGUGUCGAUGACAAAGGGUGCAGAGGAAGCCACAGCUAACUUCGUGCCAGCAGCUGCGGUAAUACGAAGGUGGCGAGCGUUGUUCGGAUUCACUGGGCAUAAAGGGCGCGUAGGCGGUGCUGCAAGCGGCGUGUGCAAUUCCGGGGCUCAACCCCGGAACUGCGCGCCGGACUGCAGUGCUCGAGUGCGGGAGGGGGGUGCGGAACUCUAGGUGGAGCGGUGAAAUGCGUAGAUAUCUAGAGGAACACCGGUGGCGAAAGCGACACCCUGGCCCGCAACUGACGCUGAGGCGCGAAAGCGUGGGUAGCAAAC
rnacentral:rRNA from 1 species